rnacentral:lncRNA from 1 species
CCCCAGCUACUGACCUCUCCUUCCCAGGAAGGCAGUGAAGCUACUGAUAUUAAUUAUUUCUUUCAGGAAGAAAAAGUUCACUCAGUCCAGUCCCUUCCUGACAGUUAGGCUCUAUAAUCCCCUUCUUCGACUAGCUCCUUGGAGGGGCUCAUCUGCCAUGAAUCCUUCUAGCGUCCAGGGUCAUGCUCUCCAUGGGCAGUUUUACUGCCAACAUGAGCACUUGUGUGCCGGCUGUUGGCCAUGACUUGUCACAGCUCCUUGCCAGUACCAGAUAAAGGUGCAAAGAGAGGCCUCAGGAAAGUCCACCAGCAGGCUGACAUUCCUCUCAGGCUAAGGCAAGUGCAUUUUGCCAGCACUCCUCUUGUGUUUUGUUUUGUUUUUUUUAAGUGAGGUCAUGGUCUUCAGACUUUCCUGGCUGGCCAGCCAUGAGGAAAGUGUUUAUUCACUAUAUUGCUCAGUACCCUAA